rnacentral:rRNA from 1 species
UGAAGAGUUUGAUCAUGGCUCAGAUUGAACGCUGGCGGCAGGCCUAACACAUGCAAGUCGAACGGUAACAGGAAGCAGCUUGCUGCUUUGCUGACGAGUGGCGGACGGGUGAGUAAUGUCUGGGAAACUGCCUGAUGGAGGGGGAUAACUACUGGAAACGGUGGCUAAUACCGCAUAACGUCGCAAGACCAAAGAGGGGGACCUUCGGGCCUCUUGCCAUCAGAUGUGCCCAGAUGGGAUUAGCUUGUUGGUGAGGUAACGGCUCACCAAGGCGACGAUCCCUAGCUGGUCUGAGAGGAUGACCAGCCACACUGGAACUGAGACACGGUCCAGACUCCUACGGGAGGCAGCAGUGGGGAAUAUUGCACAAUGGGCGCAAGCCUGAUGCAGCCAUGCCGCGUGUAUGAAGAAGGCCUUCGGGUUGUAAAGUACUUUCAGCGGGGAGGAAGGUGUUGUGGUUAAUAACCGCAGCAAUUGACGUUACCCGCAGAAGAAGCACCGGCUAACUCCGUGCCAGCAGCCGCGGUAAUACGGAGGGUGCAAGCGUUAAUCGGAAUUACUGGGCGUAAAGCGCACGCAGGCGGUCUGUCAAGUCGGAUGUGAAA